GGGCGGCGCAGCCUGAUCAGCAUGCCGCGUGUGUGAAGAAGGCCUUCGGGUUGUAAAGCACUUUUGUCCGGAAAGAAAUGGCUCUGGUUAAUACUUGGGGUGGAUGACGGUACCGGAAAAAUAAGGACCGGCUAACUACGUGCCAGCAGCCGCGGUAAUACGUAGGGUCCAAGCGUUAAUCGGAAUUACUGGGCGUAAAGCGUGCGCAGGCGGUUGUGCAAGACCGAUGUGAAAUCCCCGGGCUUAACCUGGGAAUUGCAUUGGUGACUGCACGGCUAGAGUGUGUCAGAGGGGGGUAGAAUUCCACGUGUAGCAGUGAAAUGCGUAGAGAUGUGGAGGAAUACCGAUGGCGAAGGCAGCCCCCUGGGAUAACACUGACGCUCAUGCACGAAAGCGUGGGGAGCAAACAGGAUUAGAUACCCUGGUAGUCCACGCCCUAAACGAUGUCAACUAGUUGUUGGGGAUUCUUUUCCUUAUUAACGUAGCUAACGCGUGAAGUUGACCGCCUGGGGAGUACGGUCGCAAGAUUAAAACUCAUAGAAUUUUGUCGGGGG
rnacentral:rRNA from 1 species